rnacentral:rRNA from 1 species
CUCGGCUGCAUGAAGCUGGAAUCGCUAGUAAUCGCGGAUCAGAACGCCGCGGUGAAUACGUUCCCGGGUCUUGUACACACCGCCCGUCACACCAUGGGAGUCGGAAAUGCCCGAAGCCGGUGACCCAACCAAAAGGAGGGAGCCGUCGAAGGCAGGUCUGAUAACUGGGGUGAAGUCGUAACAAGGUAAC